rnacentral:rRNA from 1 species
GACGAACGCUGGCGGCGUGCCUAAUACAUGCAAGUCGAGCGGACCUGAUGGAGUGCUUGCACUCCUGAAGGUUAGCGGCGGACGGGUGAGUAACACGUAGGCAACCUGCCCUCAAGACUGGGAUAACUACCGGAAACGGUAGCUAAUACCGGAUAAUUUAUUUUGCAGCAUUGUGAAAUAAUGAAAGGCGGAGCAAUCUGUCACUUGAGGAUGGGCCUGCGGCGCAUGAGCUAGUUGGUGGGGUAACGGCCCACCAAGGCGACAAUGCGUAGCCGACCUGAGAGGGUGAACGGCCACACUGGGACUGAGACACGGCCCAGACUCCUACGGGAGGCAGCAGUAGGGAAUCUUCCGCAAUGGGCGAAAGCCUGACGGGGCAACGCCGCGUGAGUGAUGAAGGUUUUCGGGUCGUAAAGCUCUGUUGCCAAGGAAGAACGUCUUCUAGAGUAACUGCUAGGAGAGUGACGGUACUUGAGAAGAAAGCCCCGGCUAACUACGUGCCAGCCGCCGCCGUAACAC